GAUGAACGCUGGCGGCGUGCCUAAUACAUGCAAGUCGAGCGAACGGACGAGAAGCUUGCUUCUCUGAUGUUAGCGGCGGACGGGUGAGUAACACGUGGAUAACCUACCUAUAAGACUGGGAUAACUUCGGGAAACCGGAGCUAUUACCGGAUAAUAUUUUGAACCGCAUGGUUCAAAAGUGAAAGACGGUCUUGCUGUCACUUAUAGAUGGAUCCGCGCUGCAUUAGCUAGUUGGUAAGGUAACGGCUUACCAAGGCAACGAUGCAUAGCCGACCUGAGAGGGUGAUCGGCCACACUGGAACUGAGACACGGUCCAGACUCCUACGGGAGGCAGCAGUAGGGAAUCUUCCGCAAUGGGCGAAAGCCUGACGGAGCAACGCCGCGUGAGUGAUGAAGGUCUUCGGAUCGUAAAACUCUGUUAUUAGGGAAGAACAUAUGUGUAAGUAACUGCGCACAUCUUGACGGUACCUAAUCAGAAAGCCACGGCUAACUACGUGCCAGCAGCCGCGGUAAUACGUAGGUGGCAAGCGUUAUCCGGAAUUAUUGGGCGUAAAGCGCGCGUAGGGCGGUUUUUUAAGUCUGAUGUGAAAGCCCACGGCUCAACCGUGGAGGGUCAUUGGAAACUGGAAAACUUGAGUGCAGAAGAGGAAAGUGGAAUUCCAUGUGUAGCGGUGAAAUGCGCAGAGAUAUGGAGGACCACCAGUGGCGAAGGCGACUUUCUGGUCUGUAACUGACGCUGAUGUGCGAAAGCGUGGGGAUCAAACAGGAUUAGAUACCCUGGUAGUCCACGCCGUAAACGAUGAGUGCUAAGUGUUAGGGGGGUUUCCGCCCCUUAGUGCUGCAGCUAACGCAUUAAGCACUCCGCCUGGGGAGUACGACCGCAAGGUUGAAACUCAAAGGAAUUGACGGGGACCCGCACAAGCGGUGGAGCAUGUGGUUUAAUUCGAAGCAACGCGAAGAACCUUACCAAAUCUUGACAUCCUUUGACAACUCUAGAGAUAGAGCCUUCCCCUUCGGGGGACAAAGUGACAGGUGGUGCAUGGUUGUCGUCAGCUCGUGUCGUGAGAUGUUGGGUUAAGUCCCGCAACGAGCGCAACCCUUAAGCUUAGUUGCCAUCAUUAAGUUGGGCACUCUAAGUUGACUGCCGGUGACAAACCGGAGGAAGGUGGGGAUGACGUCAAAUCAUCAUGCCCCUUAUGAUUUGGGCUACACACGUGCUACAAUGGACAAUACAAAGGGCAGCGAAACCGCGAGGUCAAGCAAAUCCCAUAAAGUUGUUCUCAGUUCGGAUUGUAGUCUGCAACUCGACUACAUGAAGCUGGAAUCGCUAGUAAUCGUAGAUCAGCAUGCUACGGUGAAUACGUUCCCGGGUCU
rnacentral:rRNA from 1 species